GAUGAACGCUGGCGGCGUGCCUAAUACAUGCAAGUCGAGCGAACAGACGAGGAGCUUGCUCCUCUGACGUUAGCGGCGGACGGGUGAGUAACACGUGGAUAACCUACCUAUAAGACUGGGAUAACUUCGGGAAACCGGAGCUAAUACCGGAUAAUAUAUUGAACCGCAUGGUUCAAUAGUGAAAGACGGUUUUGCUGUCACUUAUAGAGGUAACCGCGCCGCAUUAGCUAGUUGGUAAGGUAACGGCUUACCAAGGCAACGAUGCGUAGCUGACCUGAGAGGGUGAUCAGCCACACUGGAACUGAGACACGGUCCAGACUCCUACGGGAGGCAGCAGUAGGGAAUCUUCCGCAAUGGGCGAAAGCCUGACGGAGCAACGCCGCGUGAGUGAUGAAGGUCUUCGGAUCGUAAAACUCUGUUAUUAGGGAAGAACAAAUGUGUAAGUAACUAUGCACGUCUUGACGGUACCUAAUCAGAAAGCCACGGCUAACUACGUG
rnacentral:rRNA from 1 species